CAGCCAUAUUAUACUGAAACACCAGUUCUCAUACGAUCACCAAAGUUAAGCAACAUCAAGCUUGGUCAUUACUUAGAUGGGUGACCACUUUGCCAUGCCUGUUGCUGUAAG